rnacentral:rRNA from 1 species
CCAUGCCGCGUGUGUGAAGAAGGCCUUCGGGUUGUAAAGCACUUUCAGUUGUGAGGAAAAGUUAGUAGUUAAUACCUGCUAGCCGUGACGUUAACAACAGAAGAAGCACCGGCUAACUCCGUGCCAGCAGCCGCGGUAAUACGGAGGGUGCGAGCGUUAAUCGGAAUUACUGGGCGUAAAGCGCACGCAGGCGGUUUGUUAAGCUAGAUGUGAAAGCCCCGGGCUCAACCUGGGAUGGUCAUUUAGAACUGGCAGACUAGAGUCUUGGAGAGGGGAGUGGAAUUCCAGGUGUAGCGGUGAAAUGCGUAGAUAUCUGGAGGAACAUCAGUGGCGAAGGCGACUCCCUGGCCAAAGACUGACGCUCAUGUGCGAAAGUGUGGGUAGCGAACAGGAUUAGAUACCCUGGUAGUCCACACCGUAAACGCUGUCUACUAGCUGUGUGUGCCUUUAAGACGUGCGUAGCGAAGCUAACGCGCUAAGUAGACCGCCUGGGGAGUACGGCCGCAAGGUUAAAACUCAAAUGAAUUGACGGGGGCCCGCACAAGCGGUGGAGCAUGUGGUUUAAUUCGAUGCAACGCGAAGAACCUUACCUACACUUGACAUGCUGAGAAGUUACUAGAGAUAGUUUCGUGCCUUCGGGAACUCAGACACAGGUGCUGCAUGGCUGUCGUCAGCUCGUGUCGUGAGAUGUUGGGUUAAGUCCCGCAACGAGCGCAACCCUUGUCCUUAGUUGCCAGCCUUAAGUUGGGCACUCUAAGGAGACUGCCGGU